rnacentral:rRNA from 1 species
GAUUAUGGCUCAGGAUGAACGCUAGCGACAGGCUUAACACAUGCAAGUCGAGGGGCAGCAUAAAAGUAGCAAUACUUGGUGGCGACCGGCGCACGGGUGAGUAACGCGUAUGCAACCUACCUAUCAGAGGGGAAUAACCCGGCGAAAGUCGGACUAAUACCGCAUAAAACAGGGGCACCGCAUGGUGAUAUUUGUUAAAGAAAUUCGCUGAUAGAUGGGCAUGCGUUCCAUUAGGUAGUUGGUGAGGUAACGGCUCACCAAGCCGACGAUGGAUAGGGGAACUGAGAGGUUGGUCCCCCACACUGGUACUGAGACACGGACCAGACUCCUACGGGAGGCAGCAGUGAGGAAUAUUGGUCAAUGGGCGGGAGUCUGAACCAGCCAAGUCGCGUGAAGGAAGAAGGAUCUAUGGUUCGUAAACUUCUUUUGCAGGGGAAUAAAGUGCAGGACGUGUCCUGUUUUGUAUGUACCCUGAGAAUAAGGAUCGGCUAACUCCGUGCCAGCCGCCGC